AAAGCGCGCGUAGGUGGUUUGUUAAGUUGGAUGUGAAAUCCCCGGGCUCAACCUGGGAACUGCAUUCAAAACUGACUGACUAGAGUAAGGUAGAGGGUGGUGGAAUUUCCUGUGUAGCGGUGAAAUGCGUAGAUAUAGGAAGGAACACCAGUGGCGAAGGCGACCACCUGGACUAAUACUGACACUGAGGUGCGAAAGCGUGGGGAGCAAACAGGAUUAGAUACCCUUGU
rnacentral:rRNA from 1 species